CCAGUCGGCUUAACUGGUGAGAGCACCGGAGUUCGGUUCUGGAAGUCGCUGGUUCAAGUCGUGCCGGCUGUC
rnacentral:tRNA from 1 species